rnacentral:rRNA from 1 species
AGAAUCAUUGUCAAUGAGCGCAAGCUUGAACGUGCGACGCCGCGUGUGGGAUGAAGGCCUUCGGGUUGUAAACCACUGUCAGGAGCUAGCAAUAAGCGCGUAACCCGCGUGAUGAGGUAAACUCCAGAGGAAGUGAAAGCUAACUACGUGCCAGCAGCUGCGGUAAUACGUAGGUCGCAAACGUUGUUCGGAUUUACUGGGCUUAAAGGGCGCGUAGGCGGCAGCGUAAGUUCAGGUUGAAAUCCGGCGGCUCACCCGUCGAACUGGCCUGGAUACUGCGUUGCUAGAAUCAUGGAGGGGUGCGCGGAACUUGUGGUGGAGCGGUGAAAUGCUCAGAUAUCACAGGGAACACCGGAGGCGAAGGCGGCGCACUGGCCAUGUAUUGACGCUGAGGCGCGAAAGCGUGGGGAGCGAAC